ACAGAGAUAGCUUGCUAUUUGCUGACGAGCGGCGGACGGGUGAGUAAUGCUUGGGAAUAUGCCUUAUGGUGGGGGACAACAGUUGGAAACGACUGCUAAUACCGCAUAACGUCUACGGACCAAAGGGGGGGAUGCUUCGGCACCUCCCGCCAUUUGAUUAGCCCAAGUGAGAUUAGCUAGUAGGUGAGGUAAGAGCUCACCUAGGCGACGAUCUCUAGCUGGUUUGAGAGGAUGAUCAGCCACACUGGGACUGAGACACGGCCCAGACUCCUACGGGAGGCAGCAGUGGGGAAUAUUGCACAAUGGGCGAAAGCCUGAUGCAGCCAUGCCGCGUGUGUGAAGAAGGCCUUCGGGUUGUAAAGCACUUUCAGCGAGGAGGAAAGGUUAGUGGUUAAUAGCCACUAGCUGUGACGUUACUCGCAGAAGAAGCACCGGCUAACUUCGUGCCAGCAGCCGCGGUAAUACGAGGGGUGCAAGCGUUAAUCGGAAUUACUGGGCGUAAAGCGUGCGUAGGUGGUUUGUUAAGCAAGAUGUGAAAGCCCUGGGCUCAACCUGGGAACUGCAUUUUGAACUGGCAAGCUAGAGUUUUGUAGAGGGUAGUGGAAUUUCCAGUGUAGCGGUGAAAUGCGUAGAGAUUGGAAGGAACAUCAGUGGCGAAG
rnacentral:rRNA from 1 species